CUGGGACUAGAUUUCAGAGGAAAUGGUAGACAUUUAUAGCUGGGAGGCAGGGAGGUGGAAGGAGAGGUUACUGUCCCAGGAGUCCAGGGAAGGAAGAGGCAAUUUUUCAAAAAGUACAAGUGGCCAGUAACCCCAGGGGAAGAUGCUGUCCCUUUCUGGUAAUCAGAAGAAGGCAAACACCACUACAGGGAGAUGGGAUUAGGAAAGAAAGAGAGUAACAAGGCCUGCUAUGGGGGAGGGAAGGGAGGGGGGCGGGCCCUCUUCUGCCGCACUGCUGGUGGGAGGGGAAAUUGGGGACCCGAGUUGGUGGAUGACGUAGGUCUCACGUGACCAAGAGCUGACGUGUGCAGAAGUCCUUCUUGUUCUGGUCGUUGUUCCCGUCUGAGUAUCAGCUCCCCAUUGCCCCGAAGGCCAGCGGGCCUGCAGCAGAGGAAAGGAGGAGAAGAAGGAGAUUGUCCCGGAUCCGUGCAGUCUUUCCGUAGGUUGCGGCACCACGCCAGGCUAGAGAAGAGGAAGGAAAUUAACCCCGAUUCGUGAAGGUCGAUUUGAGGGUCUGCUGUAGCAGGUGGCACCAGUUUAAACGAGGGAGGAAGUUUCCUCGGAUCAGUAGAGGUUGCAAGGGUUGUUGGGCGUGGCACACCUCCAGGGGAGGGAAGAAGGGGCAAACUGCUUGUCUGGAGGAGAGGACAACACAAGGAGAAGAGAAACUCCACCCCUAGGUCCACCUCCAGAAUCAGUUGUCGUGGCCUUGAAGUGGCUGAAGACGAUCAUCCUCCACAGGCCUGCAUCCAGGCCAGGCCCAUAGCCCUCCUCCCCCAGCCUGAGUGACUACUCUGUUCCUUGGUCCCUG
rnacentral:lncRNA from 1 species